AGAGUUUGAUCAUGGCUCAGAACGAACGCUGGCGGCAGGCUUAAUACAUGCAAGUCGAACGCCCCCUUCGGGGGGAGUGGCAGACGGGUGAGUAACGCGUGGGAACGUGCCCCAAGGUAGGGAACAACGCCGGGAAACUGGCGCUAAUACCCUAUGUGUCCGAGAGGAGAAAGAUUUAUCGCCUUGGGAUCGGCCCGCGUCAGAUUAGCUAGUUGGUGGGGUAAAAGCCUACCAAGGCGACGAUCUGUAGCUGUUCUGAGAGGAAGAUCAGCCACACUGGGACUGAGACACGGCCCAGACUCCUACGGGAGGCAGCAGUAGGGAAUCUUGGACAAUGGGCGCAAGCCUGAUCCAGCCAUGCCGCGUGAGUGACGAAGGCCUUAGGGUUGUAAAACUCUUUCGCACGUGACGAUAAUGACGGUAACGGAGAAGAGUCCCG
rnacentral:rRNA from 1 species